GACGAACGCUGGCGGCGUGCUUAACACAUGCAAGUCGAACGGAAAGGCCCUGCUUUUGUGGGGUGCUCGAGUGGCGAACGGGUGAGUAACACGUGAGUAACCUGCCCUUGACUUUGGGGUAACUUCAGGAAACUGGGGCUAAUACCGGAUAGGAGCUCCUGCUGCAUGGUGGGGGUUGGAAAGUUUCGGCGGUUGGGGAUGGACUCGCGGCUUAUCAGCUUGUUGGUGGGGUAGUGGCUUACCAAGGCUUUGACGGGUAGCCGGCCUGAGAGGGUGACCGGCCACAUUGGGACUGAGAGACGGACCAGACGCCUACGGGAGGCAGUGGUGGGGAAUAUUGCACAAUGGGCGGAAGCCUGAGGCAGCAACGCCGCGUGCGGGAUGACGGCCUUCGGGUUGUAAACAGCUUUCGCCUGUGACGAAGCGUGAGUGACGGUAAUGGGUAAAGAAGCACCGGCUAACUACGUG
rnacentral:rRNA from 1 species